ACAACGAAGAGUUUGAUCCUGGCUCAGGAUGAACGCUAGCGGCAGGCCUAACACAUGCAAGUCGAGGGGUAACAGAGAGUGCUUGCACUUUGCUGACGACCGGCGCACGGGUGCGUAACGCGUAUGCAACCUACCUUUUACAGGAGGAUAGUCAAUAGAAAUGUUGAAUAAUACUCCAUACGAUCUUUGAGUGGCAUUACUUAAAGAAGAAAGCUUUUGCGGUAAAAGAUGGGCAUGCGUCCUAUUAGUUAGUUGGUGAGGUAACGGCUCACCAAGACAUCGAUAGGUAGGGGCCCUGAGAGGGGGAUCCCCCACACUGGUACUGAGACACGGACCAGACUCCUACGGGAGGCAGCAGUGAGGAAUAUUGGACAAUGGAGGCAACUCUGAUCCAGCCAUGCCGCGUGCAGGAAGACUGCCCUAUGGGUUGUAAACUGCUUUUAUACAGGAAGAAACCUACUUACGUGUAAGUAGCUGACGGUACUGUAAGAAUAAGGAUCGGCUAACUCCGUGCCAGCAGCCGCGGUAAUACGGAGGAUCCAAGCGUUAUCCGGAAUCAUUGGGUUUAAAGGGUCCGUAGGUGGUUUAUUAAGUCAGAGGUGAAAUCCUAUCGCUCAACGAUAGAACUGCCUUUGAAACUGAUAGACUUGAGUUAUUGUGAAGUAGUUAGAAUAUGUAGUGUAGCGGUGAAAUGCAUAGAUAUUACAUAGAAUACCGAUUGCGAAGGCAGAUUACUAACAAUAUACUGACACUGAGGGACGAAAGCGUGGGUAGCGAACAGGAUUAGAUACCCUGGUAGUCCACGCCGUAAACGAUGGUCACUAGCUGUUUGACUAACAUUGGUUAGUUGAGUGGCUAAGCGAAAGUGAUAAGUGACCCACCUGGGGAGUACGCUCGCAAGAGUGAAACUCAAAGGAAUUGACGGGGGCCCGCACAAGCGGUGGAGCAUGUGGUUUAAUUCGAUGAUACGCGAGGAACCUUACCAGGGCUUAAAUGUACGUUGCAUGAUUUAGAGAUAGAUCUUUCUUCGGACUACGUACAAGGUGCUGCAUGGUUGUCGUCAGCUCGUGCCGUGAGGUGUCAGGUUAAGUCCUAUAACGAGCGCAACCCCUAUCGUUAGUUGCCAUCAGGUUAUGCUGGGAACUCUAACGAGACUGCCGGUGCAAACCGCGAGGAAGGUGGGGAUGACGUCAAAUCAUCACGGCCCUUACGUCCUGGGCCACACACGUGCUACAAUGGCAGGUACAGAGAGCAGCCACUCCGCGAGGAGGAGCGAAUCUAUAAAACCUGUCUCAGUUCGGAUCGCAGUCUGCAACUCGACUGCGUGAAGCUGGAAUCGCUAGUAAUCGGAUAUCAGCCAUGAUCCGGUGAAUACGUUCCCGGGCCUUGUACACACCGCCCGUCAAGCCAUGGAAGCUGGGGGUACCUGAAGUCGGUGAGCGAAAGCAGCUGCCUAGGGUAAAACUAGUAACUGGGGCUAAGUCGUAACAAGGUAGCCGUACCGGAAGGUGCGGCUGGAACACCUCCUUU
rnacentral:rRNA from 1 species